rnacentral:rRNA from 1 species
UACGGAGGGUGCGAGCGUUAAUCGGAAUUACUGGGCGUAAAGCGCAUGCAGGCGGUCUGUUAAGCAAGAUGUGAAAGCCCGGGGCUCAACCUCGGAACAGCAUUUUGAACUGGCAGACUAGAGUGUGAUAGAGGGUGGUAGAAUUUCAGGUGUAGCGGUGAAAUGCGUAGAGAUCUGAAGGAAUACCGAUUGCGAAGGCGGCCCCCUGGACAGAUACUGACACUCAGAUGCGAAAGCGUGGGGAGCAAACAGG